AUACCUACCUGGCGUCGGGAUACCGUCAUCAUGCAGGCGGUUCCUCUGGGGUGCGGCUGUUCCAUUGCACUGCGGAGUGGUUGAUCCUUGCGAUUAAUUUUUAUUAUAUUAAGCACUCACACACAGAGC
rnacentral:snRNA from 9 species